UAAGAUAGAGGCGCGUCUAUUUGAUCAGUAACAGGGCGGAGGCUGCCAAAGCCGUUGAUCCUUUGUGAAAGGCAUAGUCGCCGAAGGGGAUGGUCUGGCAAACGUCCGCCUGGUUGCAUAGGUGAAUAACCGUGUGACUGUCAUCAUAAGAUUAUGAUGGAGGGCUAUC
rnacentral:ncRNA from 1 species